GUGCCGCAUCCAUGUUGAUCCAGAAAGACACCCAGGAAAGGAUGACAAUAAGCAAGCUGGGAAUGUACAUCUGGAUCAGCUGGUAAGGACAUCAGUGGACACGAAGCAGAAGCAUAUCAGGGUUUAAUCUCUCAUGUUUGCCAUCGCUCCGGCAGUGGAUGAUUUAUGGGACGUCUGGAGACGAUACAAUUGAAGUCGGACACCGGGACCAGAAUAGUGAUGUUUGGAUUUUACCUGGACAAUUGCUUUACUCACCAAUACAGGACACUCUUCAUUCCCGGAGCUUCUAGCAUAUAAUAUUAACAACUUUACCUUAAUCCAUCUACAAUAAGCGAUACAAUUGAAGUCGGACACCGGGACCAGAAUAGUGAUGUUUGGAUUUUACCUGGACAAUUGCUUUACUCACCAAUACAGGACACUCUUCAUUCCCGGAGCUUCUAGCAUAUAAUAUUAACAACUUUACCUUAAUCCAUCUACAAUAAGCGGAAUCCACACUGCUGUGUCUGACGUAAAAGUGCAACAAGCUGGCAUCCAUCUUUCAGACAUGCCACUCCCCUGCAGUGUUUCUCAGCCAAUCAGAAAUGGAUAAGCAUGAUAGUAAAUGAAAAAUGUCAAUCAAGCUUGUUGUACCUUUUUUCCUAUAGGAUUCCACAGUGCAUUGUCAAGGAUUGCAACAUGACUGCAGCUCAACUUUCUUACAAAUGAGUUUUGUUUUCAGCAGAAGUCAGUUGAAAAAAUAAAUAAAAGCUUCAUAAAACAU